GAUUGCGGCGGUCUUGAAAACCGUUGUACCGCGAGGUACCCGGGGUUCGAAUCCCUGUCUCU
rnacentral:tRNA from 1 species